rnacentral:rRNA from 1 species
AGCAAACAGGAUUAGAUACCCUGGUAGUCCACGCCUUAAACGAUGUUUACUAGUUGUCGGGUUUUAAUUAACUUGGUAACGCAGCUAACGCGUGAAGUAGACCGCCUGGGGAGUACGGUCGCAAGAUUAAAACUCAAAGGAAUUGACGGGGACCCGCACAAGCGGUGGAUGAUGUGGAUUAAUUCGAUGCAACGCGAAAAACCUUACCUACCCUUGACAUGUCAGGAAUCCUGGAGAGAUCUGGGAGUGCCCGAAAGGGAACCUGAACACAGGUGCUGCAUGGCUGUCGUCAGCUCGUGUCGUGAGAUGUUGGGUUAAGUCCCGCAACGAGCGCAACCCUUGUCAUUAGUUGCUACGCAAGAGCACUCUAAUGAGACUGCCGGUGACAAACCGGAGGAAGGUGGGGAUGACGUCAAGUCCUCAUGGCCCUUAUGGGUAGGGCUUCACACGUCAUACAAUGGUACAUACAGAGGGCCGCCAACCCGCGAGGGGGAGCUAAUCCCAGAAAGUGUAUCGUAGUCCGGAUCGCAGUCUGCAACUCGACUGCGUGAAGUUGGAAUCGCUAGUAAUCGCGGAUCAGCAUGUCGCGG